GACGAACGCUGGCGGCGUGCUUAACACAUGCAAGUCGAACGGAAAGGCCCUGCUUUUGUGGGGUGCUCGAGUGGCGAACGGGUGAGUAACACGUGAGUAACCUGCCCUUGACUUUGGGAUAACUUCAGGAAACUGGGGCUAAUACCGGAUAGGAGCUCCUGCUGCAUGGUGGGGGUGGGAAAGUUUAGGCGGUUGGGGAUGGAUCGGCGUCUUAUCAGCUUGUUGGUGGGGUGGUGGUUUACCAAGGCUUUGACGGGUAGCCGGCCUGGGAGGGUGACCGGCCACAUUGGGACUGAGAUACGGCCCAGACUCCUACGGGGGGCAGCAGUGGGGAAUAUUGCACAAUGGGCGGAAGCCUGAUGCAGCAACGCCGCGUGCGGGAUGACGGCCUUCGGGUUGUAAACCGCUUUCGCCUGUGACGAAGCGUGAGUGACGGUAAUGGGUAAAGAAGCACCGGCUAACUACGUG
rnacentral:rRNA from 1 species